AGACAACACCCACAGCUGUUCAGAGAUUGAUACCAGGUAAAAAUUUCGAGACGAAAUUUAUUUAAGAGGGGGAGAAUUGUAACACCCCUAUGUUCGGUAGUGCGUUCUACUGUUCCGGUGACCAGUGUUGUCCGGACAGCUAGGAUGCCUAGAACUACACUUCAAUAUGAGUGAGGAGACAUAAAAUAAUGAAAUACAAGAAAAGAAAAUACAAGAAAAACAAAGGAAAAAUAAUAGCAAAGAAAUGUAACCAAGUUAAGCGAGCCGAGAACCCUAGCGAUGGGUGACUGCACCGGGAAGUCGUGGCGUGGACCGUUGACUAGCCCUGGACCGUGGGGAACCCUGAAAAAUAUUUUUAGGACUUAAAUAAAUGUCUAUUGAAGUAUAAAUGCCAUUAGAAAUAUCAAAAAAAAAUUAAUUAAUUAGUACAAAGGAAAA
rnacentral:misc_RNA from 1 species